CCUUUGAAGCUAUGAUAUACAUGUGACAGAGUUCUAGCAAGCAAGCAUGUUGUCUAUUAUUGCAAACUGAGUCCCUGAAUAUGUCUCAUACAUACUUCUUGGUGCCUUGUCCUGUCUAGCUGCCUGGGAAACCUCCGUCCCCACUCUGCAUUGUCGCUGAUGAUCUACAGUCAGCACUGUAUUGGGAAUACAGGUGGCCCAUAGGUUAUGACUGCAGAAAUGAAGAGGAGAAAGGCAAGAGAAGUCAGUAUGCUAUGAGAAGAUUUCCCACCAAGCAAGUGGUAAAAGGAUUUACAAAACAAAUUCUUUGUGUUAUGCAAUAUAAAUAUUUUUUUCUCAUCCAAGCUUAUAUUUUCAAUGAAAUGGAUAGUAUACGAUGAAACAGAACCAAAGGGUUUUAAGCUAAAAAUAACAAUUUUCAAGAUUCAAGUCAACUUGGAUUUCAAUAUCAGAAAGAUAAUCUCCCUGGUCCUCCAUCCACAACAUCCCAGUGUGUGCAGCUCAAGAGCACACACAAAG